CAGGGAGACUUAUCCUUUCAUCUCUGAAUUUCCUUCAGCAUUUCAAAAGCGAAUGCUUUCUAGAAGCCCUGGAGGGCUCCGCGCGCUGCUGCUUGGACAUGCUUCUAGGAAACAACCUGUGCUUUAAUGGGCACUUUGCAAUUGCAUAGAAGUUCCCACCAAAACAGAAGUGGCCUUUCAAAGACAAGUGCAAACUGUGCCGUGGAAGUCCAAGAGUCCUCACAGGAGUGCAAAAACAUCACAAAAGCUGAUCCUGACUUCUGCAUGGCACCUUCUUCAGGUCAGCAAGCCAAUGGAACACGUGUGCACCAAACAUGAAAGUUCCUUUUUUACGUAAUACCUGUAACCACAC
ensembl:lncRNA